AUGGCCACCAGAGGAUUUAAUUUGUCAAUAAGCUGCACGAAUACCCAGGCCACCUCCAUCUGCUGCUGUGACAGAACACAGUUAACAGGAAAAUCCCAGAGAGCAAGCAUCACAGGCCCUGCAUCUUGGGAGGAACCUGCAGAAAGGACCGUGAUCUCCAUCUGCCAGCUGAGCGUUCGGCUCAGAGAGAAGAAGAAAGAAAAGAUCUCACAAAGAGUUUAUCUGAACUUUAUACAUUCUUCUAGUGCUGCUCUGGAACAAGUUCUGCUUUGGUUCAUUCGGAGUUCAAUCUUUGGAGACUUAAAGUGCUCACUCAAAUGCACUGAACAAGAGGAAUGCUUCAGCUCCAAUCAGCUCCUGUCUUCUUUGGAAAUGCUGGCCCUGAGGCUCUACGUAAUAACCUGUGAUCAGGAUCCUAGUUAUGUGCUGGAUAGGCAACUGAAGAAGCCUGUCUUUCCACAAUUCAGACAGAGCAUAUAAAUAAGUUUGGUGUUCACACUCUCCUGAGUCAAAGCUCUGAGUGAGACUUGAAGGGAUGAGAACCAUUCUUAAAUAGUUUGAAGAACUGUCCUGAAGAAAUUGAGUUAGAUCUUUAAGACUUUAGCAAUGCUAAUUCUAAUACAAAUAUCAACUACCAGUGGUUUUAUUUGCUUGGCAACUGGAAGGAGAGGGAGAUAGCAAACCAGAAAUUGCUUGUACUUAAAGUCAUUGAAAGGCUGUAAUUCACAUAUGGAUGAAAUUUGGCUCUGGAAUAACAUAAUGUAGUUGUAAGUGGAAUAAAUCUGGUCUACUAAUUCUUUUUCUGCCUGUU
rnacentral:lncRNA from 1 species